GCCAGGCUCUAGACCGAGACACAGCUGCGUGGCCAGGCUCUAGACCGAGACACAGCUGCGUGGCCAGGCUCUAGACCGAGACACAGCUGCGUGGCCAGGCUCUAGACCGAGACACAGCUGCGUGGCCAGGCUCUAGGGUCUAUACGACAGAGUAGAGGCUGCCUCCAAAGUGUGCACUUACUUGUCUUGCACACUUCUUGUCAUGGAUUUAAAAGCAUUAGAUUGUAAUUAUUGGCUGAAGGGAGUUUCUUUCCACCGUUGUUAAGCCUAAAUCCAUGAUGGGAAGUGUGCAAGUGAACACUUUGAGAAAAGGGUGUAUAAUUAGGGUGCAGCUGUGUCUGAUCCCGUUGGUUCCUUAAGGAUCUCCAGUCAGGACUAUACAGCUGUGUCUGAGCCCAUUGGUUCCUUAAGGAUCCCCAGUCAGGACUAUACAGCUGUGUCUGAUCCCAUUGGUUCCUUAAGGAUCCCCAGUCAGGGCUAUACAGCUGUGUCUGAUCCUGUUGGUUCUAUACAUCUGUGUCUGAGCCCGCUGGUUCCUUAAGGAUCCCCAGUCAGGACUAUACAGCUGUCUGAUCCCAUUGGUUCCUUAAGGAUCCCCAGUCAGGACUAUACAGCUGUGUCUGAUCCCAUUGGUUCCUUAAGGAUCCCCAGUCAGGGCUAUACAGCUCUGUCUGAUCCCGUUGGUUCCUUCAGGAUCCCCAGUCAGGACUAUACAGCUGUGUCUCAUCCCGUUGGUUCCUUAAGGAUCCCCAGUCAGGACUAUACAGCUCUGUGUCAGCCCGUUGGUUCCUUCAGGAUCCCCAGUCAGGACUAUACAGCUGUGUCUGAUCCCGUUGGUUCCUUUUAAGGAUCCCCAGUCAGGACUACACAGCUGUGUGAUCCUGUUGGUUCCUUCAGGAUCCCCAGUCAGGACUAUACAGCUGUCUGAUCCCGUUGGUUCCUUCAGGAUCCCCAGUCAGGACUACACAGCUUUUUAUUUCUGCCGUCUUUUAUAUUAUUAUAUAGCAACGAUUUAAUAAUCAGAAAAACGCUGGACGAAUCUUCAUAGAAAUGUCUUUAAUAUAUGAUUUACUCCUUUUGUUUUUAGAUUUUUUAUUAAAUCAUUUGAGGUUUGUUUUGUUCACCUGUAAGCUUCAAAUUGACUGCACUGUACUCUCAUUACCCUGGCUGACUUGUGAAUCCACAAAUUGCACCCUAUUCCCUAAUGUAGUGCACUACUAUUAACCAGAGGCCUUACUAACCAGUAGUAGUGCACUAUAAAAGGAAUAGCUUAAGGGACCAUUUGGGAGCCUGCUGGUGUGCUGCAUAACUAGAUGAUGUUCUCUCUGUGGUAGUAAUGCUAACGAUGAUAGGUUAGGGAUCAGUGGUAGUAAUGCUAUAAUGCUAAUGAUAGGCUAGGGAUCAGUGGUAGUAAUGCUAUAAUGCUAAUGAUAGGCUAGGGAUCAGUGGUAGUAAUGCUAUAAUGCUAAUGAUAGGCUAGGGAUCAGUGGUAGUAAUGCUAUAAUGCUAAUGGUGAUAGGCUAGGGAUCAGUGGUAGUAAUGCUAAUUAUGAUAGGCUAGGGAACAGUGGUAGUAAUGCUAUAUUGCUAAUGAUAGGCUAGGGAUCAGUGGUAGUAAUGCUAUAAUGCCAAUGGUGAUAGGCUAGGGAUCAGUACUAGUAAUGCUAAUGAUGAUAGGCUAGGGAACAGUGGUAGUAAUGCUAAUGAUUAUAGGCUAGGGAUCAGUGGUAGUAAUGCUAAUGAUGAUAGGCUGGGGAACAGUGGUAGUAAUGCUAAUGAUGAUAGGCUAGGGAACAGUGGUAGUAAUGCUAAUGAUGAUAGGCUAGGGAACAGUGGUAGUAAUGCUAAUGGUGAUAGGCUAGGGAACAGUGGUAGUAAUGCUAAUGGUGAUAGGCUAGGGAACAGUGGUAGUAAUGCUAAUGAUAGGCAAGGGAAAAGUCGUAGUAAUGCUAUAAUGCUAAUGAUGAUAGGCUAGUGUUGCAAAAUUCCUGAAACGUUCCCUACAUUUCCAAGGUUUUUUAUUAAUCAUGUUUCAAGGAAUUUCUGAUAUCAGGAAGGAUUAACUAGGGAAGGCAUCCUCCUACUGAGAUUUAUGAGGAAUUUCAGAGUUCUGAAAAGCUUGUAGCUCAAUAACCAGUAUCUGAGCUGUGAAGCACUUUCUGUUGUGUUGCUAGAUUGACCAGGUUGUUGUCAUGGGGAUGGAUGGUGGCAGAACGUGUUGUUGCCACUACUCGUGAUGCUAGCAUGGUCUAGUCCUGAGUCCUGAGUCCCAGCUCUGUUUGUGCUGUCUUGCCAACUCUAUGUGAUUUAUAGGAGUCGCUAAGACAGCACAAACGGAUGUGGGACCAGGCUAAGCAUGGUUCACCUUGGUGUCAAGGGUCAACUAAUCAAGUCAAGUAAUGGCACAUACAUAACCACUGUCUGGAGAGACCUGCAGAGACCUACAGCUAGACUCCCUAACACAGUGUCUGUUCAGACUGAUUCAUUAGAGCUAGACUCACUAACACAGUGUCUGUUCAGACUAAUGCUUUGAGUACUGAGUAGUGACUUGUUUCAGUGCCUAAUGCCUUGAGUACUGAGUAAUGACUUGUUUCAGUGCCUAAUGCCUUGAGUACUGAGUAGUGACUUGUUUCAGUGCCUAAUGCCUUGAGUACUGAGUAUUGACUUGUUUCAGUGCCUUUAUUGUAGAAUGACUUGUUGGUUGGUCUGUAGAUAGUUUUCAGAUGCCACCUCCCCUUCUCUUGAAGCCCAGCUCACCUAUCUCUGAGUUGGUGGACAGGACAGGUUCCUACCCUUAAAAAUGUACGUGUGAUCAGGGUGGUUGGCAGGUAGCCAAGGAGCGCUACAGUUCACUCCAAGCAACUCGUAUCAAGCAGAUCACACAAUUUACCACGGCCAACAGCAGGCCUGGUCUACAGGGUAAUAGUAGUGUGGGUAGGAGCCACUGUCUGGAGUCAGAUCAGAUUAACUUCAUUAAUAACCCACUGUCUGGAGUCAGACCAGAUUAACAUCAUUAAUAACCCACUGUCUGGAGUCAGACCAGAUUAACAUCAUCAAUAACCCACUGUCUGGAGUUCAUUAAUAACCCACUGUCUGGAGUCAAACCAGAUUAACAUCAUCAAUAACCCACUGUCUGGAG
ensembl:lncRNA